UCGAGAAUUUUUCACAAUGGGCGCAAGCCUGAUGGAGCGACGCCGCGUGGGGGAUGAAUGGCUUCGGCCCGUAAACCCCUGUCAUUUGCGAUCAAACCUUGCUAUUUAAAAGAUGGCGAGCUGAUAGUAGCGAAAGAGGAAGGGACGGCUAACUCUGUGCCAGCAGCCGCGGUAAUACAGAGGUCCCAAGCGUUGUUCGGAUUCACUGGGCGUAAAGGGUGCGUAGGUGGUGGGGUAAGUCGGAUGUGAAAUCUCGGAGCUCAACUCCGAAAUGGCAUUGGAAACUACCCUGCUAGAGGGUCGGAGGGNGGACUGGAAUUCUCGGUGUAGCAGUGAAAUGCGUAGAUAGCGAGAGGAACACCAGUGGCGAAGGCGAGUCCCUGGACGACUCCUGACACUGAGGCACUAAAGCUAGGGGAGCAAACA
rnacentral:rRNA from 1 species